rnacentral:rRNA from 1 species
UAGGGAAUCUUCGGCAAUGGGGGCAACCCUGACCGAGCAACGCCGCGUGAGUGAAGAAGGUUUUCGGAUCGUAAAGCUCUGUUGUAAGUCAAGAACGAGUGUGAGAGUGGAAAGUUCACACUGUGACGGUAGCUUACCAGAAAGGGACGGCUAACUACGUGCCAGCAGCCGCGGUAAUACGUAGGUCCCGAGCGUUGUCCGGAUUUAUUGGGCGUAAAGCGAGCGCAGGCGGUUUGAUAAGUCUGAAGUUAAAGGCUGUGGCUCAACCAUAGUUCGCUUUGGAAACUGUCAAACUUGAGUGCAGAAGGGGAGAGUGGAAUUCCAUGUGUAGCGGUGAAAUGCGUAGAUAUAUGGAGGAACACCGGUGGCGAAAGCGGCUCUCUGGUCUGUAACUGACGCUGAGGCUCGAAAGCGUGGGGAGCGAACAGGAUUAGAUACCCUGGUAGUCCACGCCGUNNNGAUGAAUGCUANGUGUUGGAUCCUUUCCGGGAUUCAGUGNCGCAGCUAACGCAUUAAGCACUCCGCCUGGNNAGUANNACCGCNANGGUUG